ensembl:lncRNA
GUGCUAUUUAAGCAUAAAAUAUCAGUGUUAUAUUUGUACUUGCAUAGUUUAUAAAUUAUAUCUUAAGAUUGCACAGACACCAAACAAGUUUUUACCAUUGUCAGCAAGAAAACCCAACACAGCUGUUCCACAAGCAGGCUCCUGCAUCAUCGAAACAAUUGCCAUCUGAGCCCUGAUACCUUCCUUCCUACCAUUUAUGGGUUUCCCUAUGUAGUCCAGGCUGGUCUUAAAUUCACUAUGCAGCCCAGGCUGACCUUCAACACAUGGAGAUUCUCCUGCUACAGUCUCCCAAGUGCUGGAAUAUAGACGUGCACCACCAUGCCAAACUUACUUCUUUUCAUAUUUAAAGCAAUUUCUGUAGUAAAUUACUCACCCAAAAAUGGUGUACUGUGAGCAGUUGUAGUACUAAAAAUGUAAGAGUAUAGGCACUUCAAAAUUUAGUGUUGUAAAAAAGUACAUAGAGUGAUUGUAGCUCAGUGUAAAAUGCACAGUGAUAGAGUUAUAUGCAGCUAUAUACAUAUAUGCAGCAAAUUUUCAGUAGUUCUCUCUUAGAGACUGCUGCUAUUUUUCCCCUGAUGAAUUUUCUCUGCUUGAAGUGAUCUGUGCUAGCCUUGGUUCUCUAAUUGCUGUAUUUCCUGCCUACAGUUUGUGUUAUUUAGAAGUACCUUUGGUUCUGUGAUUUACUUAAGCGCUUUAAAUGAAAGCUGUGUUUCUCUACAUCUCAUUAUGAUGCUGACUUUAGUAUCUUAGAGGUAUCAAGUCUCUGAUGAUACAGCUGAAUCCGGAAUAAAACAAAAGAGGCUGAGAUAUUGAGAGAAAAAUGUAAUUGGUAUGUGUUGCUAUAAAUAGAUUUGAUUUCUUUUAGUUAUUAAGAAUAAGAUAUUAAUACUGCUGAUCAAAUUUGUUUUACAGGGCAGAUUAACUGUGAUACUAAAGAAAUUUUAUUAACAUAGACCCUUUCAGAUAGCAAUAGUUGUAAUAGUAGCAGAACAAUUAGUAAAUAUUAUUUUAAUAAUUAUAGUAGUAUAUUUGACAUAAAAAAUGGUAUGG